UGCCCUAGUAACGGCGAGUGAAGCGGCAACAGCUCAAAUUUGAAAUCUGGCUACAUUCCGUGGUCCGAGUUGUAAUUUGUAGAGGAUGCUUUUGGUGAGGUGCCUUCCGAGUUCCCUGGAACGGGACGCCAUAGAGGGUGAGAGCCCCGUACGGUUGGAUACCAAGCCUCUGUAUAGCUCCUUCAACGAGUCGAGUAGUUUGGGAAUGCUGCUCUAAAUGGGAGGUAUAUCUCUUCUAAAGCUAAAUAUAGGCUAGAGACCGAUAGCGCACAAGUAGAGUGAUCGAAAGAUGAAAAGCACUUUGAAAAGAGAGUUAAACAGCACGUGAAAUUGUUGAAAGGGAAGCGCCUAUGACCAGACUUGUUUCUGGCAGUUUCGUUAGCCCUCGGGCUGAUUUACUCUGUCCAGUACAGGCCAGCAUCAGUUUGCUGUCGGGGAGAAAGGCUCUGGGAACGUAGCUCCCCCCUUCUGGGGGGAGUGUUAUAGCCCUCUGCAUAAUACCCUUCGGCAGACUGAGGACCGCGCUUCGGCAAGGAUGCUGGCGUAAUGGUCAUCAGCGACCCGUCUUGAAACACGGACCAAGGAGUCAACCUUAUGUGCGAGUGUUUGGGUGUAAAACCCCAGCGCGUAAUGAAAGUGAACGUAGGUGAGAGCUUCGGCGCAUCAUCGACCGAUUCUGAUGUUUUCGGAUGGAUUUGAGUAAGAGCACACAGGGUUGGACCCGAAAGAAGGUGAACUAUGCUUGUAUAGGGUGAAGCCAGAGGAAACUCUGGUGGAGGCUCGCAGCGGUUCUGACGUGCAAAUCGAUCGUCAAAUAUGAGCAUGGGGGCGAAAG
rnacentral:rRNA from 1 species